rnacentral:rRNA from 1 species
ACCUGCCGCUGAAUAUAUAGGCGGUGUGGAGGGAACGUGGGGAAGUGAAACAUCUCAGUACCCACAGGAAGAGAAAACAAUUGUGAUUCCGUGAGUAGUGGCGAGCGAAAGCGGAUGAGGCUAAACCGUUCAGAUGUGAUACCCGGCAGGGGUUGUCUGGACGGGGUAGUGGGGCCCAUUUUCCUAUCACUGCCGUGGUGGGCAACAGUCAGAAAAGUGCGUGUUAGUCGAAGUGGUCUGGAACGGCCUGUCGUAGAGGGUGAGAGUCCCGUAGGCGAAAAUGCGUGCUCUGUUGUAGUGGGUGCCCGAGUAGCAGCGGGCCCGUGAAAUCUGCUGUGAAUCUGCCGGGACCACCCGGUAAGCCUGAAUACUCCCUGGUGACCGAUAGCGGACUAGUACCGUGAGGGAAAGGUGAAAAGUACCCCGGGA